UAACUAUUCAUUCUCUCAUUGCUCUGUUCUCUCUCUCUCUCUGAUAAUAAUAAUCUCAUUCUUUUCUGAAAGCUCUCUCUGAUUCUUGUUUCUUCUUCAUGGAAUCACCGCGCACUCCGAUUUCAUCGCCAUCGUCCCAGUCGUCGGUAACUCCUUCACCUCCUCGUGCACCCAAAAAAAGCAAUAACCAACGAAUGAUAUAUUCUACCCCGAUGCUACGCUUAAUGGAUCGAAUCAUUCAAGAUGGUGAAUUGUGGUUGCUUGAGUAUCGAAGGAAUCAGAACACCGCUCAACUCAUCGAAAACGAGAGAAAGAGAAAAAUCAAAAUUUUGAUGUCACUUCGAUGAUGAUGAUGAUUAUAGUAACCCUUUCACAAUUAUUUCUCUCUUAUUAUUCCUUUUCAGAUAUGACAUAUAUAGAUGCUUUCUAUAUCAAAAUGGGUAUGGAAAAAGGGUAAGAUUUCAUUGUUAUUUUUUGACAUAAUAUAUAGAUGCUUUCUAUAUAUGGAUAUAGGUGAGUUCAUUGCCACUUCCUCCUUCUCAGGCUCGUUAGUUUUCAAUUUCAUUUCUAUAAAGUUUUAAACUUUCUUAUUUUUAGGUUAUAAAAAUUGAUACUUUAGUUAUGUUAUGUCGUUUUAAUUUGGGUUAUAAAAACUUACCCUUUUUUGUUUAAGGAAAAAGGGUAAUAUUCCAUUGUUAUUUUUUGACAUAAUAUAUAGAUGCUUUCUAUAUGGGUAAGUCAAAGGUGAGAUAUUUCUUCCUUUCAAUUGUUAUUUUAUUUUAUUAUGAAAUUCUGAUGUGAUGAUCUGUUCUGUUGGGGGGAGAAGGAGAACAUCUCAGGUAGGUAUAAAGUUUUAAACUUUCUUAUUUUUAGGUUAUAAAAAUUGAUACUUUAGUUAUGUCGUUUUAAUUUGGGUAAUUUGAUUUUUCUUUUUUCUUUUUUUUUUGUUUCAGAAAUUGUGGGUUUUGUUUAUUUGUUGUAUUCUUUUUGUUGAUGAUUUAUGUUCUUGAUUGUGUUUUGGUGUUUGGACUUUUGACUAAUUUGUUGGUGAUCUAUAUAGGUUUCAUUUUAUGGAGGUAGGUAUGUAAUUUUUUUUAUCGGGUUUGUGGAGGUUUGACACCGCCCGCCAAUGGAUGGUACUAACCAAACAAAACUUUCGUCAAGUUCUUCCUAGUUUCGACUGUUUCAGCUUUGACCGAGUUUCUAUUUUCUUUUAUUAUGCAAUUGUGAUUAAUGAUAUGUUGGAGAGAAGAUAUAUUUUUUUUUGUUUGUUUGAAUCCAUAACUACCUUGAUUGUCAGAGUCAAUGCAGGUACUACAGCUUGUGUAGGAUAAAAAUCAGUCUUGUCUCUUCAGGUCAUUAGAGAAAGGAGCAGAAGAUACUAUAAGAGGCUGAGAGGGUAAUCAUAUCGGAAACAGUUCUUCCUCGUGACUUAGGUAUUUAGUUCUUCCUCAUGAUUUAGUCCUUUAAUUUGUAUUUCUUACUGGCAUUGAUUUAAUGUUUUUAGGUUGCUUCAGAUAUUAAACAAGUCUGUGAUACGUUAAAAAAAAAUUAUUAAGCUAGGGAAUAAUUCAAUUGGAGCCCAUGUGAUCUCUAUGCCCUCAAGUAUUAACAAGGAUUCUGUUCUCACUGAUUCUAGAUCUCGUUAUUGAAGUUUUCAAUGGGAUACAUUGCUUACAUAUGUUCUAGCUUCAAUAUCAUGUCCUUUUAUGUCAAACCAGUAUACCUAAGUAUUUAUUUCUUCCUCAAUUAAAAUUGAAAUUUUUGCUCUCGGCAUAUUAUAUAAACUCUUUCUAUGUUCUCUGUCCUUGAAUUUGUAUUUCUUACUGGCAUUGAUUUAUUACUUAUUGGUUGCUUCAGAUGUUAAACAUGUCUCGGAUACAUUCAGAUUUUUAUUAAGCUAGGGAGUGAUUCGGUUGGAGCCCAUGUGAUCUCUAAGCCCUCAAGUAUUAACAAGGAUUCUGUUCCAGCACUAACCUUUUUAAUGGUUAUAAAUAAUAUGUAGGCAAGCUAUAAUCCUUGACUUAUAGAGAUACAAAUAUGAGAGUCUGCGUGCUCAGAUUCAUUGAUCAACUUCCCCUUUGAGCCAUUUUCCUUUAAUCCCUUUUUGGUACAAAUAUGUAUAUUAUUGAUGGUAAAGGAAAAUAGUAGUAGAAGAUCUCUCUAGUUAGCAGCUACUUCCGGAGCAAAGCCCCAACACAGAGAAAUAUCUAUCUUUGGCCCUAACAGAAAAUAUUUCCAUCCUACCCUCUCUCUGGUGUCUGGCCUAAUAUUUGUCAAAACUUAUUAAGUGUAGGACAGUUGCUUGAAAAGGGUUCAUAAAUAUCUUUAAGAAUAGUAUGUGUGUGAGUAAAUCUGCUAUGCCUAAGACUUGUUCAUAUCUUUAAAAGAUUAUCAUUAGAGUCCUUUCAAUGUGAGGAAGCUUCUGUUGUAAAAUCAAUUUGUGAUACUGAAGUUUGCCACUAGAGGAUGUGCCAUUUUAAUCAUGUAUGAACUUUUACAAGGGUAUGCUGAUUUAAUUUUUGAAAUUUGAAGUUGCUGAUAUUUUUUGUAAAUUCAAAAAUUGGGUUGAAAAUAAGAGUGGAUGCAAAAUUUAAGUAUCAGGUAAUGGAAUUGAAUACACCUAAAAAAAUUCAAUUAGCUUUGUGAAGAGGUUGGAAUUACACCUCAACUCACUGCUCCCUACUCAUCGCGGCAGAAUGGUGAGUGAAAGUAAUACUAGGACCGUGAUGCAGAUGCUUGCUAUAUGAGAAAAAUAUGCCUAGAAGUUUUUUGCUUAACAGACUAACUACAAUGACUGAUAUUGUAGAGAUGUCAUAUUUCUUGGUAAUGUAGGCUUAAGCAAAAUUAUUUGCAGGAAUCCUUAUAUGUCAAAAGAAGUAUGCUGAGAUGAUGAGAUCCUAAAGAAGUUCAAUAUGAGCAAAAACAAGCCCAUGAUGAGAAUGAGAAGCUUAUCAAAGAAAAUGGGUCUAGAAGAGUUGAAGAAGCUUACAGAAGCUUAGUUGGAUUCUUAAUUAACAUACUUCAAUCAGGCUGUUAGUCAGAUUCAUUGAUCAACUUCCCCUUUGAGCCCUUUUCCUUUAAUCCCUUUGAGGUACAAAUAUGUAUAUUAUGGUAAAGGAAAAUAGUAGUAGAACAUCUCUCUAUUAGUAGCUACUUCCAGAGGAAAGGUCCAACACAGAGAAAUAUCUAUCUCUGGCCCUAACAGAAAAUAAUUCCAUCAAAACUUAUUAAGUGUAGGAAGUUACUUGAAAAGGGGUCAUACAUUAUCUUUAAGAAUAGUAUGUGUGUGAUUAAAUCUGCUGAUGCCUAAGAAUUGUUCAGUAUACCGAUGAAGGUAAAAAGAUUUUCAUUAGAGUUGUUGCAAUGUGAGGAAGCUGCUGUUUUAAAAUCAAUUUCUGAUACCGAAGUUUGGCACUAGAGUAUGUGCCAUUUUAAUCAGGCAGAGAAGGUUGCAGUUGAUACAUACAGAUCUUCAGCAUAUAUUACAUACUCUUCAUGUAUGAAUUUACAAGGUUAUGCUGGAUUUAAUUUUUGAAAUUUGAAGUUGCUGAUAUUUUUUGUAAAUUCAAAAAUUUGGUUGAAAAUCAGAGUGGAUGCAAAAAAUUCAAGUGUUAAGAUCAGAUAAUGGAAUUGAAUAACCUCAAAAAUUCAAUUAGCAUUGUGAAGAGGGUGGAAUUACAUAUCAACUCACUGCUCCAUACUCAUUGCAGCAGAAUAGUGUGAGUAAAAGGAAGAACAUAGGACCCUGAUGGAAAUGGCUCGAUUCUUGCUAUACGAGAAAAGUACGCCUAAGAAGAGUUGAAGAAGAAUAUGGACGACGCUUAGUUGGAUGCUUAAUUAAGGUGCCUUACGUCAGGCUGUUAGCAUCCUUUCAAGAUUUCUGCAUUAUGCUAGUGAGGAGCUUCUCAAUGUAGCAACGAGUGUUGAGAUAUAAUAACAAUGGAAUUACAAGAUAUUCAUGGUUUCUGAGAUAAUGAUUGGGUUGGAUCUAUCGAUUAUAUGCCUAGCACCUCUGGCUACUGUUUUUCAUUUGGUUCUGGAAUGUAUUCAUGGUGCUAAAAAGAGCAAGAUAUUGUUUCUCAAUUAACAGCAGAGGCAAGAGUUCCUAGCAGCAGCUGAAGCAGUUAAUGAAGAAUUGUGGAUUAGGAAGUUGUUAAAAGAUGUUCAAGUGUUUAUGUGGAUAGUAGUUAAAUUCCAACAAUCCAGUGUUUUAUGGAAAGAGACCAAUAUAAUGAAGUGUUUUAGUAGUGGAUUAAGAAUUUAAGAUAUUCUGUUUUAGGAGAUUGUUAUCAAUUUUUGUAUUUAAAGAUGCUUCAUAUCAAUAAAAUUUGAAGUAUAGUUUUAAAAACAGAUUAUUUAAUACAAUACAAUGAUAUUAUUUUCCUA